UCCUGCUUAUCACAGGCAGUGUCCAUAUAGUCCCCGGCCGAACCGCUGGCAAAUAUGGAAGGGGGUUGCGCUCGUUGCGGGACUUAACCCAACAUCUCACGACACGAGCUGACGACAGCCGUGCAUCACCUGUGACACCUAGGUUUCCCACACGCUCCACUGCUGAAGACGCUUAAGGUGCCAUGUCAAGAUUUGGUAAGGUUUCUCGGUUAGCAUCGAAUUAAACCACAUGCUCCACCGCUUGUGCGGGCCCCCGUCAAUUCCUUUGAGUUUUAGUCUUGCGACCGUACUACCCAGGCGGAGUGCUUAACGCGUUAGCUAUUCCCACCGAAGCCGAAGCCCCGACAGGUAGCACUCAUAGUUUACGGCGUGGACUAC
rnacentral:misc_RNA from 1 species